UUAUGGCCAUAUCACGUUGAAACAUCGGUUCCUAUACGAUCACCGAAGUUAAGCAACGUCUAACCUAGUCAGUACCUAGAUGAGUGACCGCUUGGAAAUACCAGGUAUUGUAAG